GAUGAACGCUGGCGGCGUGCUUAACACAUGCAAGUCGAACGGAAAGGCCCAAGCUUGCUUGGGUACUCGAGUGGCGCACGGGUGAGUAACACGUGGGGGAUAUGCACUGCACUUCGGGAUAAGCCUGGGAAAAUGGGUCUCAUACCGGGUAGGACCACAUUUUGGGUGGUGUUGUGGAGAGUUAUGCGGUGUGGGAUGAGCUCGCUGACUAUCAGCCUGUUGGUGGGGUAAUUGCCUAGCAAGGCGCCGACGGGUAGCCGGCCUGAGAGGGUGUACGGCCACAUUGGGACUGUGAGACGGCCCAGAGUCGGACAGGAGGCAGCAGUGGGGAAUAUUGCACAAUGGGCGGAAGCCUGAGUCAGCAAGGCCGCGUGGUGGAUGACGGCCGUCGGGUGGUAAGCUCCUAUCUCUAGGGACGAAGCGUUUUUGUGACGGUACCUGGAGAAGAAGCACCGGCUAACUACGUG
rnacentral:rRNA from 1 species